rnacentral:rRNA from 1 species
AGCGGCGGACGGGUGAGUAACGCGUGGGCAACCUGCCCCAUACAAAGGGAUAGCCACUGGAAACGGUGAUUAAUACCUUAUAAGUCGGUAGUCUCGCAUGAGACAGCCGACAAAGAUUUAUCGGUAUGGGAUGGGCCCGCGUUUGAUUAGCUAGUUGGUGAGGUAACGGCUCACCAAGGCGACGAUCAAUAGCCGACCUGAGAGGGUGAUCGGCCACACUGGAACUGAGACACGGUCCAGACUCCUACGGGAGGCAGCAGUGGGGAAUAUUGCACAAUGGGCGCAAGCCUGAUGCAGCAACGCCGCGUGAGUGAUGAAGGCCUUCGGGUCGUAAAACUCUGUCCUAUGGGAAGAAAAAAAUGACGGUACCAUAGGAGGAAGCCCCGGCUAACUACGUGCCAGCAGCCGCGGUAAUACGUAGGGGGCAAGCGUUAUCCGGAAUCACUGGGCGUAAAGGGUGCGUAGGUGGCUGAUCAAGCCAGGGGUGAAAGGCAUUGGCUCAACCAAUGUAAGCCUUUGGAACUGAUCGGCUUGAGUGCAGGAGAGGUAAGUGGAAUUCCUAGUGUAGAGGUGAAAUUCGUAGAUAU